UUUACACACGGUAAUCACCAGCUCAUACACGCUUGCUUGAUGCCCAAACUCAACACCACAACACAAACCAUAACAACAGAUGCUACCAUUUUGACGACCACAUGUAAUAUAUCCAGUAGUGGUGGGCAGUAUAUGUACACUCCAUUAAUAAUACUAGGAUAGUAGUGUGUGAGCUCGUCCAUCAUCAUCCAUGUGACCAUGUGAUUGUGAUUUCAAGGCCACAUGCCGCGCAGCCGAAAGGGAACAAAGUCCAGCAAUAUUUUGUUGUCGCCGGAUCGGAUCGGAAUCGGAUAGCAGCAGUAUCACUCGGCCUCACUUGCCCACGUGCAGUUUUUCUCUUUUGAGCGAGUGCAGUUAUUAUGUAGGUGAUCUGAGACGGAGGAACACUGUCUGCUCUGUUCUGCUCUGCUCUCACGAAAACGACGAUCGGUUUGGCAGAAGGAAUCGUACGUGUUGGUGGACGCGUGAAGCAAGCAAACUGAUCAGUGAGCUGAGAGAGUGGGAGCAUCCUUCGUCUCGACACAACCUCUCGCCCUCUCCAACAAGCAACAUCAAGAUAGCAUAUGCGAUCGGCGUGUGCAAGCAAAGGAUCCGCCGAUAUGCCUCCCUCACACCGGCAGCCAACCUUAUCUACUAACCCCCCCGUUGGCCGACCGGUCGUCUUUCUUUACCCUUUCACAAGGCGGCCAGGGUACAACCUUCCUCCCAUGCCGGCGAGGUCCGUGGAUCCGCCUUCCCCUCCGCCUGCUAUUCCAUCGGUCGGUGGCGGGGAGGAGCAUAUUGGUGCAUCGGCUCGUAGAUGACUUAGGGUUUUUCUCCUCACAGGCACGACAUUCGGAUGGAUGGCGACGCUUCUUCUUCGAGCCAGUCUUUCGGACUUCGAUCCUCCUCCUGUUCGUCUGUCGGGAUGGAUUAGACUGAGCUUCUAAUUCGUCUGUCGGCAUGGAUUAGACUGAGCUUCUAAUUCGAGUUAGUCGCCUAGACUUCGAGCCUCCUCUAGUUUGUUCAUUGGGACGGAUUAGGAACUCUGGUGUAGAUUCUUGUCAGUUAUUCGGGGCCAUAAGGUUAGGAUUUCUCGUCAUGCGUAUGUGACGAUAAGAUUUGAUGUCAAGUUUUUUAUAACUAUUCAAGGGUUCACUGAUAGUGAUCGCGGCUGUAGCGUGCUGGUUCUUAUGGGCAAGUGAAUGAAGACUUCCCGACCGUCAUAGACAAGGUCAAGCCUGAUCUAGUAUGGGAGCGGCAAGAACGAAAUGUUUAUGAGUCGUUCUGACGGCGGCAGUGGUCGUUCGAUGGUCUAGGGAUUUUGAUAUUUUUUUAUCAUGUUCGGGAUGCUUUGUACUUUUGUCAUGCCUGUGAGGACACUUUACCCUUUCGCAAGGCGACCUCGGUGAAAUCUUCCUCCCAUGCCGGCGAGCCCAUCCGCCUUCCGCUCUGCCUGCUAUUCCAUCGGUCGGUGGCGGGGAGGAGAAUAUGGAUCCCUCGGCUCGUAGCCAACUUAGAAGUUUUGUCCUCGGGGGCACGACACUUGGAUGGAUGGCGACACUUUUUCUUCUUCUUCGAGUCAGUCUUUCGGACUUCGAUCCUUCUCCUGUUUGUGUGUCGGGAUGGAUUAGACCGAGCUUCUAAUUCGAGUCAGUCGCCUACACUUCAAUCCUCCUAUAGUUCGUUCGCCGGGACGGAUUAGGAACUCUGGUGUAGACUCUUGUCAGCUAUUCGGGGCGAUGAGGUUAGGAUUUCUUGUCAUGCGUAUGCGACGACAAGAUUUGAUGUCAGUUUUUUUAUACAAAUUCAAGGGUUCAACAAUAAUGGUUGUGACUCUAGCGUGCUGGUGCUGGUUCUCAGGGCACGUGCAUGAAGACUUUCCGACUGUAGACAAUGUCAAGCCUGGUCUAGUAUGGAAGCGGCGAAGUGUCCGGGGCUCUCGUUCUGACGGCGGCAGUGGCCGUUCAAUGGUCCAUGGACUUUGAUAUAAUUUUUUAAUUAUGCUUGGGAUGCUUUGUAUUUUUAUGAUAUUUCUACGAAAAAAGGGUGGGUACAUAGUAAUUGACUUAGAAUAAAAAUUCUAGACAAUUGCUCAAUAGCAAAAUCAUUGGCUUUAUAGGGACAAUGUAUUUUUUAAAAUACUGGUGUAUAUGUGUUGUCAGAAAAUAGAAAAGUAACAUUUAGUUUAACAUGCAGUAUUAUAACUAGUAAUGGCGCUAUUAAACUCUGUUCGGUUUGCAUCAGAAACCACAAUUAACUGAACUAGAAAGGUAGGGAAAGAGAGGGAGGGCUGGUGUAUAUAACAUGCAGUAUUAUAACUAGUAAUGGCGCUAUUAUACUUCUGUCCAACACAUAUAAACCACAAUUAGUUCUACGCGACAAGAUUUGAUGUCAGGCUUUUCAGAUCGAUUCAAGGGUUCAACGACGACGACUAUAGCCCGGAGGAGCAGGUCCUUAGGGCCAAGUGAACGAAAGCUUCCUGGCGGUCAUCAACAAAGUUAAGCCGACUACGGUACGGGAGCAGCGACAAUGGAGUGUCGGUGGUCUAGGGACCUCGACGUAGUUCUAAUCAUGUUUGGGGUGUUUUGUACUUUCGAUGAAAUUUUAUAGUAAUAGAUUUGAAUUCUUUUUGGAAAAAUAAGCUAGACGUCUUACAAUACUAAUGCAUUUUCCUGCUGUA